rnacentral:rRNA from 1 species
UGAAUACGAGACGCUACGGCGUCGAAGCAGUCUAUGUCAUACUUCCAAGAAAAGCUCGCAAUGUCAUAAACAAAUAAUGCCUGUACCAUAACCGACACAGGUGGGUAGGUAGAGUAUACUAAGGGGCGCGAGAUAACUCUCUCUAAGGAACUCGGCAAAAUGACUCCGUAACUUCGGGAGAAGGAGUGCCUUAUUUAUAAGGUUGCAAUAACAAGAUCCAAGCAACUGUUUAUCAAAAACACAGGUCUCCGCUAAGUCGUAAGACGAUGUAUGGGGGCUGACGCCUGCCCAGUGCCAGAAGGUUAAAGAAGUUGGUUAGCAUUCGCGAAGCUGAUAACUGAAGCCCUGGUGAACGGCGGCCGUAACUAUAACGGUCCUAAGGUAGCGAAAUUCCUUGUCGGGUAAGUUCCGACCCGCACGAAAGGCGUAAUGAUUUGGAUACUGUCUCGGAGAGGGGCUCGGUGAAAUAGACUUGUCUGUGAAGAUGCGGACUACCUGCACCUGGACAGAAAGACCCUAUGAAGCUUUACUGUAACUUGAAAUUGAAAUUGGACUUUAUUUGCGCAGCAUAGGUGGGAGGCGUUGAGAGUAUUCUUGCGGGAAUAUUGGAGCCAUCAGUGAGAUACCACUCUUGUAAUGUUAGAUUUCUAACUUUGGAUCAUUAUCUGGUCAAAGAACAGUUUCAGGCGGGCAGUUUGACUGGGGCGGUCGCCUCCCAAAUGGUAACGGAGGCGUACAAAGGUUUCCUCUGAACGGGUAGAAAUCGUAUCUAGAGUGUAAAGGCAUAAGGAAGCUUGACUGUGAGACCUACAAGUCGAGCAGGGACGAAAGUCGGUCUUAGUGAUCUGACGGUGCUGAGUGGAAAGGCCGUCACUCAACGGAUAAAGGUUACUCUAGGGAUAACAGGCUGAUCUCCCCCAAGAGUUCACAUCGACGGGGAGGUUUGGCACCUCGAUGUCGGCUCAUCGCAUCCUGGGGCGGUAGUACGUCCCAAGGGUUGGGCUGUUCGCCCAUGAAAGCGGUACGCGAGCUGGGUUCAGAACGUCGUGAGACAGUUCGGUCCAUAUCCGGUGUAGGCGUUAGAAUAUUGAGAGGAGCCUUCUUUAGUACGAGAGGACCGAGAAGGACAUACCUCUGGUGUACCAGUUAUCGUGCCUACGGUAAACGCUGGGUAGCUAUGUAUGGAGAGGAUAACCGCUGAAAGCAUCUAAGUGGGAAGCCCACCUCAAGAUAAG